AGGAAGAAGGCUCAAGUGGUCAACAGCUGCAUCCCUGAUUCGAUCAAAGCUGUGAAUAAACCUGAGUGAACAUGCACCACAAUUUUGCCUCUUCCAGAACACACCAGCACCAGACUAAUGAAGAGCUACAGACAGCAGAAGAGCUUUGCUGUUACCAUGGUACCAGGUCAAAUGUCAAGUUGGUCUUGCCAGUGCUUAUUUCUGGCCUCCUCCUUCUAACCGUGGUCAUCACUGCUCGCGUUGUUGACUCUUCAACUGAACAUCAGUCUGGUAAAUGUGAGCAUGACUGGGAGCCACAUGGUAAGCAGUGCUACUUCUUCUCUAAAAGGGCUCUUAACUGGAGUCAGAGUCUAGAAGAAUGUACCCGUAUGAGGAGCCAUCUGGUAAUUAUAGACAAUGAAGAUGAGCAGAUAUUUUUGAUGGGGGAAAUUAAACAAAAAAUGCAACAUGCUGAGGACAAGUUCUGGAUUGGUCUCAAUGACAUAUAGAAAGAAGGAAAAUGGCAAUGGGUGGACAACACUCCUCUCAAUACAAACCAACAAUUCUGGACAAGAAUGCAACCUGAUGACUGGAAAGGGAAAUGGAAUGUAUAUCCUAAGGGAGAGGACUGUGUCCGGAUGGGAAAGAUUGAUUUUGAUGGCAAGGAUGCAACAGGCUGGUGUGAUGCAAUGUGUCAUAGACGGAUGACAUUUAUUUGUGAAACUUGAACUUAGUCACAGACUCACAGUGCAUUAUAUGGAGCCCUCACAGAGUCAUGGUCAUUCUCUUUAGGUGGGAAUUAAUAUUGUUGAGCUUUGCAUUACCUCGCAAAGGCAAAUGUGUUAGCUUUAAGCAAAUGAGUGUUUUUCAUCUGUUGUUUUUCAUGUACUUGUUUCUGUUUACACAUGUAGGCGAUUUGUGUUUAUCCAAUCUACUUGUGUCCAGUAAGUAAAGCACAGGUUGGUAUUUAAAUCAUCAGAUAGUCCUGAAGAUCCCCCUACAUGACAUUGGCAAGUUCCUUAAGACUUUUUUUUUUAAUCAAAACAAUGGCCAAAUAUUUUUAAAGGAGUUCAGUGUCUUUAGCUUGUAUAAAUACUUCCCUUGUUCGCAUCAUCCUCGAACAUCUCUAUUCACAUUCUAUUCCCUAUACUGACACCUAAAUCUAUUGAAGCCAAUAAAGGUAUAGGAAGACAGGGUGGAUGGGAUGCUAAUGGUAUAAGUGUUUAAUUUUCCAGGAUAGCCUAGUGUGUUGUGUAUUACUACUGCAGUAUACUGCCAAGGGUUAUGUAUAGUGAUGUUAUGUAAGAAUUCAAGGUGUACGAAUGGCACAGCAAGGGUUAUGUAAGUGAUGUUAUGUAAGAAUUCAAGGUGUGCGAAUGGCACAGCAUACAUGGCAGGCGACUAAAGUGCCAGAAGUGGCACAUAACAUUUAACACUGAUUAGUCCUCGACAUAAAGCUAGCUUUAUAUUGAGGAAGGCUUUCUGCUUAAAAACAAGUACUGCCUGUCUGAUGCUAAUUCCAGGCUUGUAAAGCCUCAAUAAGAUUGUGGGUGCUUUUUCGAGGUGGGAGGCAAAUCGGAGGUGUAGCUGACGUUUUGGAUGGUGUGGGUCUUAAUAUGUGAAUUUCUUUCUCUGUGUAAUCACUAUACAGUCUGUGUAGUCUGUACUUAAAUUAUACAGUGUCAAAAAGCAAUUCUAGGGGGGUUUGGAGGUAUGUUCAUCCCAGAGAAUUAAAAAAAAAAAUGACCCCUCAAAUGAUUUCUUCUAGUUAGUUUUGAGGGAAUAAUAUGGACACAUUUAUAAAAUAAGCCAUCAAUAAAUUUAGGUUAUCUGGAUUGAAACAAGAUUCUGGUGAUUUGGGGGUAUGCUCCCCUGGAGACAUUUUUUUAAAACAUGACCCCUCAAAUGAUGUCUUCUAGUUUUGAGGGAAUAUGGACAAAUUUAGUCAUACAAAAUAAGCCAUGAGUAGAUUUAGGUUAUAUGAAUUGAAACAAGAUUCUAAUGCAGGAUUGUUGCAAUGAUAACCAUGACUGUGACUGUCAAAACAUUUCCAUCUGAUUCAAUAAAGACUCAGUCAAGUAAGU